rnacentral:rRNA from 1 species
GAUGAACGCUGGCGGCGUGCCUAAUACAUGCAAGUCGAGCGAACAGAUGAGGAGCUUGCUCUUCUGACGUUAGCGGCGGACGGGUGAGUAACCCGUGGAUUACCUACCUAUAAGCCUGGGAUAAAUUGGGGAAACCGGAGCUGAUACCGGGUAUUAUAUUGCACCGCAUGGUUCAAUAGCGAAAGACGGCUUUCAUGUCACUUAUAGAUGGAUCUGGGCCCCCUUCGCUUGUUGGUAAGGUAACGGUAUACCAAGGCAACGAUGCGUAGCCGUCCUGAGUGGGUGGACGGGCACACGGGAACGGAGACAGAGUCCAGACUCCUAAGCGGAGCAGCGGUAGAGAAUCUUACGCGAUGGAGGAGUGCCGAACAGAGCAAAGCCGCGUGAAUGAUGAAGGUCUGCCGAUCGGAAAACUCUGUUAGUAGGGAAGAACAAAUGUGUAAUUAACUAUGCACAUCUUGACGGUACCAAAGCAGAAAGCCACGGCUAACUACGUG